AGGCGGGGAGGACUGAGUCUUGGUCUCGCUUCUCCCGUUUUGCACCCGGCGCGUGACGAGUCGUGCGACCCAUCUCCGAGGAAAAGCAAAACAAACAUGGGAGAGUGGUGAACAGUGGAUAAGGGAAGAAAUCAUGUCAGUUUCUCAAUCUUAAUGACUCUCCUCACUCUCCUUCAAUAAUCUCAAAGCUGAGUCCAGGAGUCGCCGAAAUUAAAGAGAAUGUAAUCAGGUGGUCAGACUCAACUGAAGAAAGGAAGCCCGGAACAGGGACAGAAUGCCUGUGAAAGGGCAGAAAACGCACAUCCUCCCUUACCUGUUGCCUAAGUCCACGG